AUUGAACGCUAGCGGGAUGCUUUACACAUGCAAGUCGAACGAGGGGCGGACGGGUGAGUAAGAAAUCGGAACGCGCCCAGUAGCGGGGGAUGACUACUCGUAAGAGUGGCUAAUACCGCAUACAAUGGGAGAGGCCGAUAUCGGCUUAGGUAGUUGGUGGGGUAAAGGCUCACCAAGGCCACGAGCCGUAGCUGGUUUGAGAGGCCGACCAGCCACACUGGGACUGAGACACGGCCCAGACUCCUACGGGAGGCAGCAGUGGGGAAUUUUGGACAAUGGGGGAAACCCUGAUCCAGCCAGCCCGAGUGUAUGAGAAGGCCUUCGGGUUGUAAAGUACUUUUGGCAGAGAAGCGGUAUCUGCAGAAUAAGCACCGGCUAACUACGUGCCAGCAGCCGCGGUAAUUC
rnacentral:rRNA from 1 species